UACGUAGGGGGCAAGCGUUGUCCGGAUUUAUUGGGCGUAAAGAGCGUGUAGGCGGCCUGACAGGUCUGCUGUGAAAACUCGAGGCUCAACCUCGAGAUGUCGGCGGAAACCAUUUGGCUAGAGUCCGGAAGAGGAGAGUGGAAUUCCUGGUGUAGCGGUGAAAUGCGCAGAUAUCAGGAAGAACACCCGUGGCGAAGGCGGCUCACUGGCCCGGUACUGACGCUGAGGUGCGAAAGCGUGGGGAGCAAACAGG
rnacentral:rRNA from 1 species